CCUAUCAUCUUCAGCUAAUGACAGGACAGAAUAAAACCCUUGACAUACUCGAUUACUAAUAACAAACGUUUGAAGUCUUUGUUUGUAAAAUAAGGCCAACAAUAAGUCCAUACAAUCCCAAAACUUCAGCGAAAAUUAAAAUAAGAACCAUACUAACAAAUAUGCGAUCUUGUCUCAUAAAACUUUGAACACCACGAUCACCAACAACUCCUAUAGCGUAACCAGCAGCCACACCCGUCAAACCAACUGCCAA